rnacentral:rRNA from 1 species
UACGUAGGGUGCAAGCGUUGUCCGGAAUUAUUGGGCGUAAAGGGCUCGUAGGCGGUCUGUCACGUCGGGAGUGAAAACUCAGGGCUUAACCCUGAGCCUGCUUCCGAUACGGGCAGACUAGAGGUAUGCAGGGGAGAACGGAAUUCCUGGUGUAGCGGUGAAAUGCGUAGAUAUUGGGAAGAACACCUGAGGCGAAGGCGGGUUGCUGGGCUGAUACUGACGCUGAGGCGCGAAAGCCAGGGGAGCAAACGGG